UAAUGCGCUAGCAGACUCGUAAUGAAGUGCAGGGUCUCGGAAGCGCUUGUGGUUGAGCGUUGGUGUCUCGUAUUGCGUCCUGCAGUGUCAGGCCAGGUUCGCCAGCUGCCUCUGCUAACUGCGAAACAUUGACGAUCCAUACCGCGUGCGGAGGCUGUACCCUCAACGCGCUUGGUAACCCUCUUCUGCCAUCUUCUCCAGGUGAGAUGGACGCAGAUGUUCGGUUGCGUUGAAGUAACGGCCAACCGCCGCGCCUCGCAUGCGCUUACGUGUUUGAUUGCUGCU
rnacentral:sRNA from 1 species